rnacentral:rRNA from 1 species
AACAAACAGGGCAUUGCCUCAGUAGCGGCGAGCGAAGCGGCGAGAGCUCAGAUUUGAAAUCUUGCUUUGCGGCACGAGUUGUAGAUUGCAGGUUGGAGUCUGUGUGGAAGGCGGUGUCCAAGUCCCUUGGAACAGGGCGCCCAGGAGGGUGAGAGCCCCGUGGGAUGCCGGCGGAAGCAGUGAGGCCCUUCUGACGAGUCGAGUUGUUUGGGAAUGCAGCUCCAAGCGGGUGGUAAAUUCCAUCUAAGGCUAAAUACUGGCGAGAGACCGAUAGCGAACAAGUACUGUGAAGGAAAGAUGAAAAGCACUUUGA